GUAGGGAAUAUUGCGCAAUGGACGAAAGUCUGACGCAGCGACGCCGCGUGAGUGAUGAAGGCCUUAGGGUCGUAAAGCUCUGUUGAAUGGGAAGAAAAAAAUGACGGUACCAUUCGAGGAAGGACCGGCUAACUUCGUGCCAGCAGCCGCGGUAAUACGAGGGGUCCUAGCGUUGUUCGUAAUCAUUGGGCGUAAAGGGUGUGUAGGUUGCCAUGUAAGUCAGGUGUGAAAGCCACGGGCUCAACCCGGGAAGUGCAAGUGAUACUGCGUGGCUGGAGGACCGAAGAGGGUAGUGGAAUUCCAGGUGUAGUGGUGAAAUACGUAGAUAUCUGGAGGAACACCGGUGGCGAAGGCGGCUACCUGGUCGAGUACUGACACUGAGACACGAAAGCAUGGGGAUCAAACAGGAUUAGAUACCCCGGUAGUCC
rnacentral:rRNA from 1 species